GAUGAACGCUGGCGGCGUGCCUAAUACAUGCAAGUCGAGCGAACGGACGAGAAGCUUGCUUCUUUGAUGUUAGCGGCGGACGGGUGAGUAACACGUGGAUAACCUACCUAUAAGACGGGGAUAACUUCGGGAAACCGUCGCUAAUCCCGGAUAAUAUUUUGAACCGCAUGGUUCAAAAGUGAAAGACGGCGUUGCUGUCACUUAUAGAUGGAUCCGCGCUUCAUUAGCUGGUUGUUAAGGUAACGGCUUACCAAGGCAACGAUGCGUAGCCGAACUGUGAGGGUGAUCGGCCACACGGGAGCUGAAACGCGCACCAGGCGCCUGCGAGACGGCGCAGUAUCGAAUGUGACGCAGUAGGCGGAAACCUGGCGGAACGGCGCGACGUGAGUGAUGAAAAUCUUCGGUUCGUAAAACUCUGUUACGAGUGGAGAACAGCUGUGGAAGUAGCUGUGCAGAUCGUGACGGUACCGGGUCAGAAAGCCCCGGCUAACUACGUG
rnacentral:rRNA from 1 species